rnacentral:tRNA from 1 species
UCCCCUGUGGCUCAGUUGGUAGAGCAUGGUGUUUGCAACGCCAGGGUUGUGGGUUCGAUUCCCACGGGGGGGG